CUACGGGUGGCUGCAGUGGGGAAUCUUGGGCAAUGGGCGAAAGCUUGACCCAGCAACGCCGCGUGGGUGAUGAAGGCCUUCGGGUCGUAAAGCCCUGUCGGGAGGAACGAACGAUUCUGGGGUGAACAAUCCCAGGAAGUGACGGUACCUCCAAAGGAAGCACCGGCUAACUCCGUGCCAGCAGCCGCGGUAAGACGGAGGGUGCUAGCGUUGUUCGGAAUCACUGGGCGUAAAGCGCGUGCAGGCGGCCCGUUAAGUCAUGUGUGAAAUCCCCCGGCUCAACCGGGGAAGGGCACAUGAAACUGGCGGGCUAGAGUACGGAAGAGGGGGGUGGAAUUCCUGGUGUAGCGGUGAAAUGCGUAGAUAUCAGGAGGAACACCUGCGGCGAAGGCGGCCCCCUGGUCCGAUACUGACGCUAAUACGCGAAAGCGUGGGGAGCAAACAGGAUUAGAUACCCCGGUAGUC
rnacentral:rRNA from 1 species